rnacentral:rRNA from 1 species
AGAGUUUGAUCAUGGCUCAGGACGAACGCUGGCGGCGUGCCUAACACAUGCAAGUCGAACGGACGAGGCCCCUUCGGGGACCGAGUUAGUGGCGGACGGGUGAGUAACGCGUGAGCAACCUGCCUUUCAGAGGGGGACAACAGUUGGAAACGACUGCUAAUACCGCAUGAUGCAGCGAGAUCGCAUGGUCUUGCUGUCAAAGAUUUAUCGCUGAAAGAUGGGCUCGCGUCUGAUUAGCUAGUUGGAGGGGUAACGGCCCACCAAGGCGACGAUCAGUAGCCGGACUGAGAGGUUGAACGGCCACAUUGGGACUGAGAUACGGCCCAGACUCCUACGAGAGGCAGCAGUGGGGAAUAUUGGGCAAUGGGGGAAACCCUGACCCAGCAACGCCGCGUGAAGGAAGAAGGCUUUCGGGUUGUAAACUUCUUUUACCAGGGACGAAGAACGUGACGGUACCUGGAGAAAAAGCCACGGCUAACUACGUGCCAGCAGCCGCGGUAAUACGUAGGUGGCAAGCGUUGUCCGGAUUUACUGGGUGUAAAGGGCGUGUAGGCGGAGCUGCAAGUCAGAUGUGAAAUCUGGGGGCUUAACCCUCAAACUGCAUUUGAAACUGUAGCCCUUGAGUAUCGGAGAGGCGGGCGGAAUUCCUAGUGUAGCGGUGAAAUGCGUAGAUAUUAGGAAGAACACCAGUGGCGAAGGCGGCCUGCUGGACGACAACUGACGCUGAGGCGCGAAAGCGUGGGGAGCAAACAGGAUUAGAUACCCUGGUAGUCCACGCUGUAAACGAUGAAUACUAGGUGUGGGGGGACUGACCCCCUCCGUGCCGGAGUUAACACAAUAAGUAUUCCACCUGGGGAGUACGACCGCAAGGUUGAAACUCAAAGGAAUUGACGGGGGCCCGCACAAGCAGUGGAUUAUGUGGUUUAAUUCGACGCAACGCGAAGAACCUUACCGGGAUUUGACAUCCUACUAACGAAGCAGAGAUGCAUUAGGUGCCCUUCGGGGAAAGUAGAGACAGGUGGUGCAUGGUUGUCGUCAGCUCGUGUCGUGAGAUGUUGGGUUAAGUCCCGCAACGAGCGCAACCCCUAUUGUUAGUUGCUACGCAAGAGCACUCUAGCGAGACUGCCGUUGACAAAACGGAGGAAGGCGGGGACGACGUCAAAUCAUCAUGCCCCUUAUGUCCCGGGCUACACACGUAAUACAAUGGCGGUCAACAAAGGGAAGCAAAGCCGCGAGGCAGAGCAAACCCCCAAAAGCCGUCUCAGUUCGGAUUGCAGGCUGCAACUCGCCUGCAUGAAGCUGGAAUUGCUAGUAAUCGUGGAUCAGAAUGCCACGGUGAAUACGUUCCCGGGCCUUGUACACACCGCCCGUCACACCAUGAGAGUCGGGAACACCCGAAGUCCGUAGUCUAACCCGCAAGGGAGGGCGCGGCCGAAGGUGGGUCUGAUAAUUGGGGUGAAGUCGUAACAAGGUA